CGGAGGGUGCAAGCGUUAUCCGGAUUCACUGGGUUUAAAGGGUGCGUAGGAGGGCAGGGAAGUCAGUGGUGAAAUCUCCGGGCUUAACUCGGAAACUGCCGUUGAUACUCUCUGUCUUGAAUAUUGUGGAGGUGAGCGGAAUAUGUCAUGUAGCGGUGAAAUGCUUAGAUAUGACAUAGAACACCAAUUGCGAAGGCAGCUCGCUACACAUAUAUUGACUCUGAGGCACGAAAGCGUGGGAUCAAACAGGAUU
rnacentral:rRNA from 1 species